CGGGCCCAUGCGUCUGCACACACUCUUAAUUCUUUAUAAUCCCUCUCUCUGUUGGCUUGCCCCCGAGCCAACACACUGUCUACGGUAUCACUCAACACUGUGCAAGGAAAACACGGAGCAGACAGCAUGGCAACGGCGGCUCUCGUUUGAAAGCAACAUAAACGGACAUUAGCGUUGGAGUCAUGAAAGGAUCCUUCUGCUCACUCAGAGAGCCUCAACAAAGGGAUCAAUCUGCUGGCCUUUACCGAACACAACCUGGAUGAUCUGAGCAACAAGGACAUGAGCUGCCCCCAGCUACUCCGGGCCCAACUGAAUCUGACUCCUUACACCACCAAGAUGGAGACGUCUACCCCAAUACGGAAUCAAGCUCGCCGGUCUUGUAGCUUUGGAGACGGUAGAAGGAGCCCUAGCUUCCCUAUUAUAGGACAGACCGCGGCCCAGAACCAGGAAGAGGAGGGGUCGUCACGACAACGACGCAUAACCAUUGCGUCCUACAUGCCCCAGUCGUCUAAGGACCAGAAUGGAAACUUUGCAGAGAAGGACAACAACGGGCACGGGGCCAAGGCUCUCCCAGGACUCAACACAGAUGAAGUCUGCCAAUGGUUUAGCAGUCUCGGACUGCAGAGAUGCCUCCCUUUCAUCAGAGAGGGACACCUGUGUGGCGCAGAUAUCGCCUCCGUGGACGCCAGCACCCUGGAGAUGCUCCACCUGUCCACGCCCGAGGACCGGGAGCUGCUGCUGUCCAACAUCUACAGAGAGCUCCACCCGCCCAAUAGCCUGACCCGGAGACUGGACUCUCUGAUCGAAACAUUUGGGCCUCAUAACAACGUGGAGAGCUUUACCGCGGCGCUCGUGUCCAUGAGCAAGUCCAUGUCCGCCCCUCACGUGAGCGGCCUCACCGCGAUGCCUUCCUCCCUAAUGCUCAGAGCCAAGAGCAGCAUGGGGCAGAGGAGCACUCAGCUGAUAGAGAUCACCGUUCAUGCAUUAGAGCAAAUCGUCCAUCUGCGUACGCCAAAAGAAACCACAGUGGGGAAGGUCAAAGAGUCCUGUGUCAAGAUGCUGGGCCUGACAGAGGAUACGCACACCUUUACGCUCAAAGACAACACAGGGCUAAGCGAUGGACUCUCAGCCAAUCAACAGAUUGGCAACCUGUUGACAACCUCCAAGAGACAACUGGAGUUGCACCUGUGUAAAAAGGACAAACAAACAGAAGGCGAGACCUCAAAAGUGAACGGUUCUCAAUACAACGUAAACCAGAAUGUGCAGCCAGCGAAAGAGGAGAAGAUCAAGGAACUGAACCAGCAGGUGGACUCUCUGCAACACGUCAUCCUCCAGGUCCAGGAACUCCACCACGGGCUGGUGGCCUUCUGCUCUGAGCUGAAGAGCGUGGACGUGGAGGUGGAUGUGACGGAGCUCAGUCCCGUCGAGCUGAGACAUCGGUUGGAAUCGGCCCAGAGCCAACUGCAGGAGAAGAGGCAGAGCCUUCAGAACCUGAAGGAGAACAUCAGCAACGCUGCAGCACAGAGGAACAUGGAAUGGCGCUCGGAGAUCCGCCUCAUUGACAAGAUGAAACUGAACUGUCAGGUGUUCAAGGCGGAGAUCUCCGUGGUGCAUCUCAACAGACAGGUGGCCCACCUGAAGAAUGCUCUUCAGGAUCGCUGUGAUAAGGAGAGACCUCCAGCAGAGCCAAGCCCUGCCGUGGGUCCCUUGAGCCAGCUGCUGUCCCCGCAGUGCCCAGCCUUGCUUCUGGUGGUCCAGGCGUGCCCGGGGCCCGACAGCCGAUACGGCUUCUCCUGCUGCUCCAGGGGGGCCGGUCAAGGCCUGGUGGUCACCCAGUCGGACCACUCCCAACUCUGCCUGGAGGACAGGCUGGUGGAGGUGAACGGCGUUGCCGUGGUGAAUUCCACCGAGGAAGACCUCCACGGCCUCCUGCUGCAGGGGGGCUCCAGCGCCCAGAUCGUAGUCCUGCGAAGGCCCUCGCUAAGGCCCGCCUCCUGCCAGCCCCCCGGGCCUGUCCAUCAACCGGCUCACCAUGUGCCUCCCCCCGCCGGCUCUCCGGAGGGGGGAGCGGUCGUCAAGGAAACCCCUCCACAGAGGAAGCUGAUAGCCAUUUGAAGAAUUUGUCGUUGUGUGUAAUAUGUGUGUGUGUAGUGUGUAGUGUGUGUAUAUUCGGGAUGUGUUGUGGGUAAUAUGUUGUAGGGAUUGUGUUAUGUUGUGUGUAUGUGCGUGUUCAUGUGGGCCAGAGAGAGAAAGAGAGAGAGAGAGUGAGCGAGCUGAUGUGAGGGGAGACAAUGUGUAGCAGAGUGAGGAGAGAGGAGAUAGAGGGAGAUGGGGGCAGUGAUGGCGUGGUGCUAAGUCCGCAUCAAGUCAAGCUUUAGCUGUCGCUGCCAAAUUAAUAGAGAUAACCUACUUUGUAGUUGUGUUGGUUAAAUAAAAAAGAAUGGUCUCGCCGUCUGUCCAUUUAUUCAAG
ensembl:lncRNA